rnacentral:rRNA from 1 species
GCUAGCGUUGUUCGGAAUUACUGGGCGUAAAGCGUGCGCAGGCGGCUUCUCAAGUCAGGGGUGAAAGCCCAGAGCUCAACUCUGGAAUUGCCUUUGAGACUGAGUGGCUUGAGUACGAGAGAGGUGAGUGGAAUUCCCAGUGUAGAGGUGAAAUUCGUAGAUAUUGGGAAGAACACCGGUGGCGAAGGCGGCUCACUGGCUCGUAACUGACGCUCAUGCACGACAGCGUGGGGAUCAAACAGG